rnacentral:rRNA from 1 species
AUGCACGCUGGCGGCGUGCCUCAUCCAUGCCAUUCGCGCGAACGUACGCUAAUCUUUCUUCUCUGAUGUUAUCGGCGGCCGGGUGAGUAACACUUGGAUAACCUCCCUAUACUUCUGGGAUACCUUCUGGAAACCUGAGCUAUUACCGGAUUUUAUUUUGUACCGCAUGGUUCAACAGUGAAAGACUGUCUUGCUGUCUCUUAUAGAUGGAUCGGCGCUGCAUUAGCUAGUUGUUAUGGUAACGGCUUACCAAGGCAACGAUGAAGAGCCGACCGGAGCGGGUGAUCGGCCACACUGGAACUGAGACAAGGUCGAGAAGCCUACGGGAGGAAGCAGUAGGGAAUCUUACGCAAUGGGGGAAAGAAUGACGGAGCAACGACGCGUGAGUGAGGAAGGUCUUCGGAGCGUAAAAAUCUGUUAUUAGGGAAGAACAUAUGUGUAAGUAACGGGGCACAUCUGGACGGUGCCUAAUCAGAAAGCCACGGCUAACUACGUG